UCUUCCCACACAGGUGGAGACAGGAGGGGAUCCCAUUGCCUGUGAGGAGGACACGGCUCCUGGGUGGAUCCUGCAGAUUGUGAAGUUCAAGUCACAGCUCCUGGGAAGGUCUCUGUGUGUAAAGAUCAUGGGGGCGAGACAGAAGCAGGGACCACACUCUGCUCUGCACCUCUGAGUGUCGAUCCAGCUGCCUUGUGACCAGGACACUUGGAAGAACCAUGGACCCUGCAAGAGGAUGGGCUCAAGGACAGCUUGCCUGAGGGCAGCCAUGAGGAUGAAGCCUCUUCAGGUAGAGAAGGACUCCAGAUUGAAAUGAAAACCACAACAAACCCUGUGACUGGAAGCCAUUCGCGAUGAGUCUUCUGUGGCCGGCUUCCUGUGGUGAGCCUCCCCAUCAAGGGUAACUGCAGCCCCCUUGGAAAUAAAGGAGAUCAGGACUC
rnacentral:antisense_RNA from 1 species